UCUCCUUCUCCCUCAUCGCGACAAAUGGCGCCCGAACAGGGACAAAGAAUGGCCCGGACCAGGAACUAAGGCCGGCCGGGACCAGGGACAAAACCGAACGGCGAGAGCCCCGGGGACAAAACCAAACGGCGAGAGCCCCAGGGACAAAACCAAACGGCGAGAGCCCCAGGGACAAAACCGAACGGCGAGAGCCCCGGGGACAAAACCAAACGGCGAGAGCCCCAGGGACAAAACCGAACGGCGAGAGCCCAGAAGCCACGGUCCGAUGCAGUAACGGUCGAUCUUGAUGCAGCACAAGAGGCAGAAGAGCUGGACUCCGUGCCCCGAGCGACCUUAUAGAAGAGUCUCGGUCGACGACACCGCCGAAGCCUUGCAGGGCUGCAACAGCGCGCUGACGAUUUUCUAUGAAGGAACUAGGACUCCAUCGUGCUGUGAGCCAGUGGGACUUGGAGACGCUUAUAGGGGCCCCCCGACAAGAUUCCGUCGGAUAAGCCUCUCCUAUCCCUCCUUUGACUCUCUUCACUAGUGGAUGCCAAACCUUCCUAAUAUUAAACAGAGCUCUGUUUGAGAGUACGUGUGUAUGAGUGCUUGUGUGAAACGGAGAUAUGCCAUGAAUGCAAAGUCGACUUACACUUGAUUAUGGGAAACAAAAUCCAAUUAAUAACCUAUUAACCAGUAUGUUUUGAUUUGUUAACUGAGUAGUUUUAGAUUGCUUCAUAAGGGCAUUAUGAUAUUGAAUGUAUUUUUAGGUUCUGCA